GACGAACGCUGGCGGCGUGCUUAACACAUGCAAGUCACGGGGGCCCGCAAGGGCAACCGGCGAACGGGUGCGUAACACGUGAGCAAGCUUCCGAUUAGUGGGAGAUAACCGGCCCAACGGCCGGGUAAUACCGCAUACGUUCACUGGACGGCAUCGUCUGGUGAGGAAACCUCCGGGGCUAAUCGAGGCGCUCGCGGCCUAUCAGCUAGUUGGCGGGGUAACGGCCCACCAAGGCUAUGACGGGUAGCUGGUCUGAGAGGAUGGCCAGCCACAUUGGGACUGCGACACGGCCCAGACUCCUACGGGAGGCAGCAGUGGGGAAUAUUGCGCAAUGGACGAAAGUCUGACGCAGCGACGCCGCGUGUGGGAUGAAGCUCUUCGGGGUGUAAACCACUGUUGCCCGGGACGAACCUCCCCUUUCGAGGGGACUGACGGUACCGGGUGAGGAAGCACCGGCUAACUCUGUGCCAGCCGCCGCUGUAAUAC
rnacentral:rRNA from 1 species